GUUGCCAUCGGUCCGGCCGGGCACUCUGGAGAAACUGCCGGUGACAAGCCGGAGGAANGCGGGGAUGACNUCAAGUCCUCAUGGCCCUUAUGGGUAGGGCUACNCACGUGCUACAAUGGCGGUGACAGCGGGCNGCNAAGGNGCNACCCAUAGCUAAUCCCCAAAAGCCGUCUCAAUUCNGAUUGUACUCUGCAACUCGAGUGCAUGAAAGUGGAAUCGCUAGUAAUCNCGNAUCACCAUGCCGCGGUGAAUACGUUCCCNGGGCUUGUACACA
rnacentral:rRNA from 1 species